rnacentral:misc_RNA from 1 species
GAAGUGCGAAAAGUGUCAUGACUUGCAGAUUCCCGAGAGCUGACAAAUCUCUGAAUGCAAAUGGCAGCCGGACAAAACCGGCUAUGUAUCGCAGAGUGUAGAUGCUCCAGCACAUCAUCACACCUUCAUGAAAGUGAAGCGUGUGGAUCUGCGCUAGUGGUUCGACCUCGAGCGUGAAAUGGAGAGGAGAGUGUGUGAUUACCGCGGUAACGCUGUAUCACACGCUUGGAUAUGGUACCCCCAAAUCUGAGUGUGUGUUAGCGUUAUUGUGAAUACAUUCUCACAAUAAACAUCUAUUUUGAUUAGGUAUUUAUAUCUAUGAGCCACCUCUGCGAUGCAGGAUAACCCGCUGAACUUAA